rnacentral:rRNA from 1 species
CGGGUGAGUAACACGUGGGUAACCUGCCCCGAUGAUUGGGACAACCCGAGGAAACUCGGGCUAAUACCGAAUGUGCCCUCCGGCCAUAAGGCCGCUGGGGAAAGGAAGCUUCGGCCUCCGCAUCGGGAUGGGCCCGCGGCCCAUUAGCUUGUUGGUGAGGUAACGGCUCACCAAGGCGACGAUGGGUAGCUGGUCUGAGAGGACGAUCAGCCACACUGGGACUGAGACACGGCCCAG